rnacentral:tRNA from 1 species
GAGGGUAUAGUUCAAAUGGUAGAGCACAUGCUUAGCAUAGCCAGGUCCUGGGUUCAAUCCCCAGUACCUCCU